ACGGUCAAGAUCCCCACCCCUAAACCAUAUAUAUAUUCUUGUAUAGAACAAUAAAACAAAUCAAAUGAAAUAUAGGGAGAGUCCAUGGGGGUCACCCCCACCCCUACAUGUUUGAGAAACUUUUAAAUGGUUGAGAUCCCCAGUGGUUAGGUGAAAAAAUUUCCAGAUCCCUGAUCCCCACCCUCAAACCAUAUAUAUUCUUGUAUGAGACAAUAAAACAAAUCAAAUGAAUAUAGGACCAUCCCC
rnacentral:lncRNA from 1 species